rnacentral:rRNA from 1 species
CCUACGGGUGGCAGCAGUGAGGAAUAUUGGUCAAUGGACGAGAGUCUGAACCAGCCAAGUAGCGUGAAGGAUGACUGCCCUAUGGGUUGUAAACUUCUUUUAUAUGGGAAUAAAACGUUCCACGUGUGGGAUUUUGUAUGUACCAUAUGAAUAAGGAUCGGCUAACUCCGUGCCAGCAGCCGCGGUAAUAAGGAGGAGCCGAGCGUUAUCCGGAUUUAUUGGGUUUAAAGGGAGCGUAGGUGGAUUGUUAAGUCAGUUGUGAAAGUUUGCGGCUCAACCGUAAAAUUGCAGUUGAAACUGGCAGUCUUGAGUACAGUAGAGGUGGGCGGAAUUCGUGGUGUAGCGGUGAAAUGCGUAGAUAUCACGAAGAACUCCGAUUGCGAAGGCAGUUCACUGGACUGCAACUGACACUGAGGCUCGAAAGUGUGGGUAUCAAACAGGAUUAGAUACCCGGGUAGUC